rnacentral:rRNA from 1 species
AUUGAACGCUGGCGGCAUGCCUUACACAUGCAAGUCGAACGGCAGCACGGGUGCUUGCACCUGGUGGCGAGUGGCGAACGGGUGAGUAAUACAUCGGAACAUGUCCUGUAGUGGGGGAUAGCCCGGCGAAAGCCGGAUUAAUACCGCAUACGAUCUACGGAUGAAAGCGGGGGACCUUCGGGCCUCGCGCUAUAGGGUUGGCCGAUGGCUGAUUAGCUAGUUGGGGGGGUAAAGGCCUACCAAGGCGACGAUCAGUGGCUGGUCUGAGAGGACGACCAGCCACACUGGGACUGAGACACGGCCCAGACUCCUACGGGAGGCAGCAGUGGGGAAUUUUGGACAAUGGGCGAAAGCCUGAUCCAGCAAUGCCGCGUGUGUGAAGAAGGCCUUCGGGUUGUAAAGCACUUUUGUCCGGAAAGAAAUCCUUGGCCCUAAUACGGUCGGGGGAUGACGGUACCGGAAGAAUAAGCACCGGCUAACUACGUG